rnacentral:lncRNA from 1 species
UAAAACAACAAACUACAGAAGAAAUACGAAAAAUAGAAGAAACUAAAAAUAGUAGGAUUGCUGAAUUAGAAAAAGAACUACAAAUGUUAAAAGAGCUGUAUGAACAAAGGCAAAAAAAAAAGAAGAAAAAGAUAGAGAACAAAAAUUACUGAACGAGAUAAAUCAAUUUAAGGAAAAAUUGAAAAUAAAAAACAAAGAAUUAGAAAUAAAUAAUAUAGAUGUUGAAGAGACAGAUAAUUA